rnacentral:RNase_P_RNA from 1 species
UGGGUGAAAUAAGUAGCUGCUGUUGUGCAAUUAAAAAGCGCAAUAGAGGAAAGUCCGAGCUCCAAGGAAAAAUAGUGACGGGUAACACCCGCCGGAGGUAACUCCAGUUACAGGGCUACAGAAAACUACCGCCUGAAGUAUUUUUUAGGUAAGGGUGAAAAGGUGUGGUAAGAGCGCACCAUAACAAUGGCAACAUUGAUAGGUUGAGUAACCAACACUAGGAGCAAGAUUGAAUAAGAGUAGACUUUGUGCUUUUCCUCACAUCUAUUCGGGUAAAUCGCAAGCAGUAAAUGGCAAUAUUUACUCUAGAUAAAUAGCUACAUAAACAGAACUCGGCUUAUAUUUCACCUGUGGA